GACGAACGCUGGCGGCGUGCUUAACACAUGCAAGUCGAACGGAAAGGCCCUGCUUUUGUGGGGUGCUCGAGUGGCGAACGGGUGAGUAACACGUGAGUAACCUGCCCUUGACUUUGGGAUAACUUCAGGAAACUGGGGCUAAUACCGGAUAGGAGCUCCUGCUGCAUGGUGGGGGUUGGAAAGUUUCGGCGGUUGGGGAUGGACUCGCGGCUUAUCAGCUUGUUGGUGGGGUAGUGGCUUACCAAGGCUUUGACGGGUAGCCGGCCUGAGAGGGUGACCGGCAACAUGGGGACUGAGGUACGGCCGAGACUCCAGGGGGGGGCAGCGGUGGGGAAAGUUGCAAAAGGGGCGGAAGCCUGAUGAAGCAACGCCGCGGGGGGGAUGGCGGCCUUCGGGUGGAAAACCGCUUUCGCCUGUGACGAAGGGUGAGUGGGGGUAAGGGGAAAAGAAGCACCGGCUAACUACGU
rnacentral:rRNA from 1 species